GUGUGUAGGCGGCUGUGUUAGUCUUCUGUCAAAUUCUUCGGCUUAACCGGAGGCUCGCAGAAGAAACGGCACGGCUUUGAGGGUGCAAGAGGUUUGCGGAACUCAUGGUGUAGGGGUGAAAUCCGUUGAUAUCAUGGGGAACACCGAAAGCGAAGGCAGCAAGCUGGUGCACUCCUGACGCUGAAACAC
rnacentral:ncRNA from 1 species